AGGUAACCCUCAUGCAUUAGAAUGGUGGAAAACUUACAAUGAAUGGGCCAAUAUUGCAUAUAAUCCAGUUGAUAAAUUAGCUAAUUAUGCUAAUAUAUAGCUAAUAUAUAGCUAUCAUAAAGUUGCAAAUUGCUGCGAGUUCAGAUAUUCAAUUACCUAAAAUAAAGUAUAUUUCCUUCAAUAAUUUAAUGGGCAGAUUAGUAAUAACAGGAGGCUGGAGCAGGAUAGAAAAUGACAUAAUUUCAAAAAAUAAAAGGGUUGGAAAGUUUUUUGUAAUGGCUCUGGAUGAGUGUAAAUAUUUUAAACUCAACCAAUAUUUUUGUUCCAUUUCACCUAAUGCUUGUAUGACACCAGGAGACAGUGGCAGCCCUUUGUUGAUGAAAGAUGAGCAUACUUUAAUUGGGAUUAACAAAGGGGCAUGCGUAAUGAAUUCGAGUACAGUACCUGGCUGUGUGAAUGUGCAUGCAUCUGUUAAUAAUGCCAUAAAUUUCAUUAAAGAAGUGACGCAAAUGUGAAACAAAUUAUAUCAAUCAUUACUAAUUAAAAAUUCCAAAUGUAUUUUCUGACAAAAUAUGCUAUGUAAUUAAAUAUACAAAAAUAUGGAACUGGUUGUUCUUUUUUUCAUUAUAUUCUACACGAAUUCUAUUCUAUUUAUUCUACAUGAAUUAGAACAAUUUCAAUUUUAAAAA